rnacentral:rRNA from 1 species
AUUGAACGCUGGCGGCAGGCCUAACACAUGCAAGUCGAGCGGAUGAAGGGAGCUUGCUCCUGGAUUCAGCGGCGGACGGGUGAGUAAUGCCUAGGAAUCUGCCUGGUAGUGGGGGAUAACGUCCGGAAACGGGCGCUAAUACCGCAUACGUCCUGAGGGAGAAAGUGGGGGAUCUUCGGACCUCACGCUAUCAGAUGAGCCUAGGACGGAUUAGCUAGUUGGUUGGGUAAAGGCCUACCAAGGCGACGAUCCGUAACUGAUCUGAGAGGAUGAUCAGUCACACUGGAACUGAGACACGGUCCAGACUCCUACGGGAGGCAGCAGUGGGGAAUAUUGGACAAUGGGCGAAAGCCUGAUCCAGCCAUGCCGCGUGUGUGAAGAAGGUCUUCGGAUUGUAAAGCACUUUAAGUUGGGAGGAAGGGCAGUAAGUUAAUAUCUUGCUGUUUUGACGUUACCAACAGAAUAAGCACCGGCUAACUUCGUG